CCUGGUUCCGCGCUCUGCCAUCCAGGCUCCGCAGGCUGCGCUUUUUGUACAACAAAAAAAAAAGGUGGGGGGUUUGGGCAACUAGUACAUUUAUUUUCCAAGCGCUUUGCUGGUUUAAGCGAGCGUGAGCUGUGAAUAAACAAAGUCAGUAAACAAGAAAAAAAAAACCCAAGCAGAUUCCAGGAGGGUAAACUUCCAACAGCAGCAGCAGCACAUCACUCUCUUUAGCAAAUGCACUCACUUAUUCUAUUCACUUCCCCGCACUCCGCACUCAUUCUGCCACCCACAAUUUUAUACAGAUCAUCAAUAUCUUCCUGCUGAAAUAUCAAAUACAAUGUUAUACAGAUGAUCAAUAUCUUCAGGGCUGAAAUAGCAAAUUUCGUAAUAGAGAAAUCUUUGCUUUUUGUGUGAGAGUCAACAGUGACUUCAAUAAAUCCGGUGAUUCAGCAGCUGGGAAAGCCGGGAGCCACGGAAUCAGCAGCAGCAGACUUGACAAUCCAUUUCUGUGCUUGAGCUGCUGGGAGAUAAGAGCCUGGAUUAAACAAUUUCUCCGGCCUUGGUUGAAAGGAUGUGGACUGAGGCUGUCCCUAUUGGUCUGCAGGACAAUGCAUCUGGCACCCCUGGAAUGGUACCCAGGGCCCUAAAAUAUCUGGAUGGAAGUGUGAUGCUGUCUCACAUGGUAUUGGGUUACUGGAAUGAAUUUGUAGACGUCAUCAUAUUAUAACCUAAGCUUUAAGUGAUUAAACUUAUAUUUUGUAUAUGUUUACACUGAGGACAUACUGGACAUAGCUGUUUAUCCCUAAUGUUGUAUUCCAUUAUAUUUACCUAAAAGUGUGCCUGUGUGUUUAUGUUACAGAAUAACCAAUUCUUAAGCAACUUUACAAUUGGUAUUCAUUAUUUCUUUUUUUAUAGUUUUUUUAAUUAUUUGCCUUCUUCU